AGCGAUGAAGCCCUUCGGGUGUAAGCUCUUUCGGCAGGAACGAUAAUGACGGUACCUGCAGAAGAAGCUGCGGCUAACUACGUGC
rnacentral:rRNA from 1 species